AGAGUUUGAUCCUGGCUCAGAAUGAAGGUUGGCGGGAUGGGUUAAGCUUGCAAGUCGAGCGCGAUACCUUUUUUGCUUGGAUUAAAGGUGGAAAGCGGGGAAAGGGAGAGUAACGCGUAGAAAUGAACCCCGAGGUCUGGGAUAGCGGUGGGAAACUGCCGGUAAUACCGGAUAAUGUCCCCGGACCAAAGUUUUUCGCCUUGGGAGCAGUCUGCGUACUAUUAGGUUGUUGGUGGGGUAAUGGCCUACCAAGCCUACGAUGGUUAGCGGGCGUGAGAGCGUGGCCCGUCUCACUGGGACUGAGACACUGCCCAGACGUCUACGGACGGCUGCAGUCGAGAAUCUUCCGCAAUGGGCGAAAGCCUGACGGAGCAAUGCCGCGUGCGGGAUGAAUGCCUUCGGGUUGUAAACCGCUGUCAGUAGGGAGGAAAUUUUGACCGAUCUACAGAGGAAGUCCGGGCUAAGUACGUGCCAGCAGCCGCGGUAACACGUACCGGACGAACGUUAUUCGGAAUCACUGGGCUUAAAGAGUGCGUAGGCGGCCUUGUAGGUGAGAUGUGAAAUCCCACGGCUCAACCGUGGAACUGCGUUUCAAACCACAAGGCUUGAGGGAGGCAGGGGUGAGCGGAACUGAUGGUGGAGCGGUGAAAUGCGUUGAUAUCAUCAGGAACACCGGUGGCGAAGGCGGCUCACUGGGUCUCUUCUGACGCUGAGGCACGAAAGCUAGGGUAGCGAACGGGAUUAGAUACCCCGGUAGUCCUAGCUGUAAACGAUGAGCACUAGUUCGAGGGGACUUCCACAUCUUCUCGGACGUAGCGAAAGUGUUAAGUGCUCCGCCUGGG
rnacentral:rRNA from 1 species